rnacentral:rRNA from 1 species
UAAGGAAUAUUGCUCAAUGGGAGAAAUCCUGAAGCAGCAACGCCGCGUGGAGGAUGAAGGGUCUAUGACUUGUAAACUCCUGUAAAGAAGGAAAAAAUUCCCAUUUGAUGGGAGAUGAUGGUACUUCUGGAGUAAGCCCCGGCUAACUACGUGCCAGCAGCCGCGGUAAUACGUAGGGGGCAAGCGUUGUCCGGAUUUACUGGGUGUAAAGGGCGCGUAGGCGGCGCGGUAAGUCACUUGUGAAAUCUCUGAGCUUAACUCAGAACGGCCAAGGGAUACUGCUGUGCUAGAGUGCGGAAGAGGCAACCGGAAUUCUUGGUGUAGCGGUGAAAUGCGUAGAUAUCAAGAGGAACACCUGAGGCGAAGGCGGGUUGCUGGGCCGACACUGACGCUGAUGCGCGAAAGCCAGGGGAGCAAACG